rnacentral:rRNA from 1 species
UAAUACGUAGGGGGCGAGCGUUGUCCGGAAUUAUUGGGCGUAAAGAGCUCGUAGGCGGUCCAUUGAGUCGGGUGUGAAAUCUCAGGGCUCAACCCUGAAAUCGCAUCUGAUACUGGUGGACUUGAGGCAGGUAGGGGAAGGUGGAAUUCCUGGUGUAGCGGUGAAAUGCGCAGAUAUCAGGAGGAACACCGGUGGCGAAGGCGGCCUUCUGGGCCUGUUCUGACGCUGAGGAGCGAAAGCGUGGGGAGCGAACAGGAUUAGAUACCCUGGUAGUCCACGCCGUAAACGAUGGGUGCUAGGUGUGGGGGGUUAUCCACUCCCUCCGUGCCGUAGCUAACGCAUUAAGCACCCCGCCUGGGGAUUACGACCGCAAGGUUA